rnacentral:rRNA from 1 species
AAUCAACGCUGGCGGCGUGCCUAACACAUGCAAGUCGAACGAGAAAGGGUAGCAAUACCUGAGUAAAGUGGCGCACGGGUGAGUAACACGUGACUAACCUACCCUGGAGUGGGGGAUAACUGAGGGAAACCUUAGCUAAUACCGCAUAAUACCUACGGGUCAAAGGAGCAAUUCGCUUCAGGAGGGGGUCGCGGCCGAUUAGUUAGUUGGCGGGGUAAUGGCCCACCAAGACAGUGAUCGGUAUCCGGCCUGAGAGGGCGCACGGACACACUGGAACUGAAACACGGUCCAGACUCCUACGGGAGGCAGCAGUGGGGAAUUUUGCGCAAUGGGGGAAACCCUGACGCAGCAACGCCGCGUGGAGGAUGAAGUACUUCGGUACGUAAACUCCUUUCGAUCGGGACGAUAAUGACGGUACCGGAAGAAGAAGCCCCGGCUAACUUCGUGCCAGCAGCCGCGGUAAUACGAGGGGGGCAAGCGUUGUUCGGAAUUAUUGGGCGUAAAGGGUGCGUAGGCGGUUUGGUAAGUCUUUUGUGAAAUCUAUGGGCUCAACUCAUAGCCUGCAAGGGAAACUGUCGUGCUUGAGUAUGGGAGAGGUGAGUGGAAUUCCUGGUGUAGCGGUGAAAUGCGUAGAUAUCAGGAGGAACACCUGUGGCGAAAGCGGCUCACUGGACCAUUACUGACGCUGAUGCACGAAAGCUAGGGGAGCAAACAGGAUUAGAUACCCUGGUAGUCCUAGCCCUAAACGAUGACUGCUUGGUGUGACGGGUACCCAAUCCCGCCGUGCCGUAGCUAACGCGUUAAGCAGUCCGCCUGGGGAGUAUGCUCGCAAGGGUG